rnacentral:rRNA from 1 species
UACGUAGGGGGCUAGCGUUGUCCGGAAUCAUUGGGCGUAAAGAGCGUGUAGGCGGUCCGGUAAGUCCGCUGUGAAAGUCGGGGGCUCAACCCUCGAAUGCCGGUGGAUACUGUCGGGCUAGAGUGCGGAAGAGGCGAGUGGAAUUCCUGGUGUAGCGGUGAAAUGCGCAGAUAUCAGGAGGAACACCGGUGGCGAAGGCGGGUCUCUGGGCCGAUACUGACGCUGAGACGCGAAAGCGUGGGUAGCAAACAGG